ensembl:lncRNA
CACCCGCACCCCCACCUCUCCAACCUCCCACACACUCCCUCUGGGACUCUCCGGGGCCCUUCCCCUGAUCCACUUCCUUUUUUCCAAAGCACUUUGUUGUUGUUCAAUCUCUCAUCCUAGGGGAAAAAGUGAAAGUGAAAGUCGCUCAGUCGUGUCCGACUCUUUGUCCAUGGAAUUCUCCAGGCCAGAACACUGGAGUGGUCUCUUCCCUUCUCCAGGGGAUCUUCCGAACCCAGGGAUCAAACCCAGGUCUCCCGCAUUGCAGGCGGAUUCUUCACCGACUGAACUAUCAGAGAAGCCCUCAUCCUCGGGGACUGGAAUGCAAAAGUAGGAGGUCAAGGAUACGCAUUAACAGUGUUAUAUUUUGGACUCACCUCACGGCACACAAGUUCUUAGUUCCUUGACCAGAGAUCAAACUCUUGCCUCCUGUAUUGGAAGCAUGGAGUCUUAACCAUCGGACCGCCAGGGAAGUUCCCA